GUUGUUGUGGUCCCCAUGGAGCUGCCGUAGCGGACCCAGCACAGCCAGGAGCGUCCGGGAUGAGCUCAGCCGCGGCCGACCACUGGGCGUGGUUGCUGGUGCUCAGCUUCGUGUUUGGAUGCAAUGUUCUUAGGAUCCUCCUCCCGUCCUUCUCAUCCUUCAUGUCCAGGGUGCUGCAGAAGGACGCGGAGCAGGAGUCACAGAUGAGAGCGGAGAUCCAGGACAUGAAGCAGGAGCUCUCCACAGUCAACAUGAUGGACGAGUUUGCCAGAUAUGCCAGGCUGGAAAGAAAGAUCAACAAGAUGACGGAUAAGCUCAAAACCCAUGUGAAAGCUCGGACAGCUCAAUUAGCCAAGAUAAAAUGGGUGAUAAGUGUCGCUUUCUACGUAUUGCAGGCUGCCCUGAUGAUCUCACUCAUUUGGAAGUAUUAUUCUGUCCCUGUGGCUGUCGUGCCGAGUAAAUGGAUAACCCCUCUAGACCGCCUGGUAGCCUUUCCUACUAGAGUAGCAGGUGACGAUGGCUUAAUAGAAUUUACCACAGUUACUUUAGAGUCUCCGAAAGCAUGGCUGGUGGAGGCCUGACUGGGAGGCAGGGGAUGCGACUCCUUACUUUGCAAAGGCUCCUCUGAGCCUUUUGCAACACCAGGACUUGAUUGUAUUCUCCAGCAGUAUUUGGACUUCCAAAUGUUUCUCUUCCCCUGAUAAAUCUAUAUUAGAAAAAUAGGCAAUUUAGUGCUGUUUAAAAUGAAUGGAUCUCUAUUUCAAGAUGGCAUGUCUAGUACACUUACGUGCACCGCCUCACAAGCACACUGAAAUGACAGAAAAGAUUAUAAGCCAGAAGCAAACAAAGGCAGGCAAGGAAAUUUGAGGUUGUUGCAUCUGGAAGUAAACAUGUAGCUACUUCUUCUAAUAAAACAGAGCUCUUAGGUGCUCUGACCCUGGAGGAGAGGGAUUUCACUGAGAUGAGAAGGAUGCGUGAUGGGAUCCAUGGGCACUGGAGGCUUAUAUUUCCCUCUCAUGCCAUGCUCAAGUGAUGGGAGGGCAGAGGCAUGAGAGGGUGCUAAGGGACUAAACGCCAUGGCCACAGGAGCUCUGGCCAAGGCCCCAGGAGUCAAGAAGUGCACAGAGGGCAUGGAUGCGUUGGAAAGGGGAGGUGCUGGCCUUUUAAAGAUCAUAUGGCUUGGACAAGGAACAUAUUAGGAAGAAACAGCAAGAAGUAGUGGGUUUUUUGGAAGCGAAUAAAAUCGACUUUAAGGAAUUAGAUAUUGCUGGAGAUGAAGACAACAGGAGGUGGAUGAGAGAGAAUGUUCCUGGAGAGAAAAAACCUCAAAAUGGGAUUCCUUUGCCUCCCCAGAUCUUCAAUGAGGAGCAGUACUGUGGGGAUUUUGACUCUUUCUUCUCUGCAAAAGAAGAGAAUAUUAUUUAUUCCUUCCUUGGUUUGGCUCCUCCUCCAGACUCAAAGGGAUCAGAGAAGGCUGAAGAAGGUGGAGAAACUGAGGCACAAAAAGAGGGCAGUGAAGAUGUGGGCAACCUCCCUGAAGCCCAGGAGAAGAAUGAAGAAGAAGGAGAGACAGCCACAGAAGAGACGGAAGAAAUAGCCAUGGAGGGUGCGGAAGGGGAAGCCGAGGAGGAGGAAGAAACUGCAGAAGGAGAAGAGCCUGGAGAAGACGAAGAUUCCUAGGCCUUUUCAUGCUUCAUUUCUUCCACUUCUCCAGAAAAUGGAAGCUAUGAAGCAACAUUUCAAAUGUCUCUCCACAAACCAAACUCAACAGAAUACUUUGGCUUGAAGCCGGCACACCCAGGGUUACUGAGGACUUAUGCUGCCUGACCUGGUUAGAUGUACAUGGAGGUAUCUCCCGAAUCAUACAAAAUUAAAUGUGAAGACCGUUUAUGCAUACCUUCAUGUGCCUGACAGUCUUGGCUUUUGAAGAUUUUUUUUUCUUUUUUGCUCUGCAUAGCUAGACCAUCUUAUUAAUAAUACUCUGAAAAAAAUGAUUUCAAGGCAUGGAAGUUCUCUGUGAUACAACAAUAGUAUUUCUUCAAAUGCGCCUUAUGCUACUUAUCUCAGAAACAGGUUUUAAAAUGAAGUGCUUUCCAGAGAACCAUCAUAUAAAUAAAGAUUAAUAGAAAAA